rnacentral:rRNA from 1 species
CCUACGGGCGGCAGCAGUAGGGAAUCUUUCACAAUGGGCGAAAGCCUGAUGGAGCAACGCCGCGUGCAGGAUGAAGGCCUUCGGGUUGUAAACUGCUUUUAUAAGCGAGAAAUAUGAUGGUAACUUAUGAAUAAGGAUCGGCUAACUACGUGCCAGCAGCCGCGGUCAUACGUAGGAUCCGAGCAUUAUCCGGAGUGACUGGGUGUAAAGAGUUGCGUAGGUGGCAUAAUAAGUAGCUAGUGAAAUCUGGUGGCUCAACCAUUCAGACUAUUAGCUAAACUGUUAAGCUCGAGACCGUUAGGGGUAACUGGAAUUUCUAGUGUAGGAGUGAAAUCCGUAGAUAUUAGAAGGAACACCAAUAGCGUAGGCAGGUUGCUGGGACGGUUCUGACACUAAGGCACGAAAGCGUAGGGAGCAAACGGGAUUAGAUUCCCCAGUAGUC